UACGUAGGGGGCUAGCGUUGUCCGGAAUCAUUGGGCGUAAAGCGCGUGUAGGCGGUCCGGUAAGUCCGCUGUGAAAGUCGGGGGCUCAACCCUCGAAAGCCGGUGGAAACUGUCGGGCUAGAGUACGGAAGAGGCGAGUGGAAUUCCUGGUGUAGCGGUGAAAUUCGUAGAUAUCAGGAGGAACACCAGUGGCGAAGGCGGCUUCCUGGACACUAACUGACGCUGAGACGCGAAAGCGUGGGGAGCAAACAGG
rnacentral:rRNA from 1 species